rnacentral:sRNA from 1 species
GUGACAGUUUAACAACAACUAAAGCCCUCUCUUUACCCACAGAAUAUAUAUGCACAAUGGAAAACCACUUAGUCUGGCUGGUGUACCUCCUCUGUGACUCACUGAAACCUCCCCUUAGAAGUGAGAGGGUAGUUCAGUUUCCAUCACCAUUCAGUCAUUGGUCUCC